GCUGGGUGCAAUGGUACACACCUGUAGUCUCAGCCACUUGGAAGGCUGAGGCAGGAGGAUCACUUGAGUCCAGGAGGGGGGAUUGAUGUAAUGUGCUAUACCGAUUGGGUGUCACACUAAGUUCAGCAUCAAAUGGGGACCUCCCAGGAGUGGGGGUCCACCAGGUGCCUAAGGUGGGAUGAACUGGCCCAGGUGUCGGAAGUGAAGCAGGUCAAAACUUCCAUACUGAUCAGUAGUGGGACUAUGCCUGUGAAUAGCCACUGCACUCCAGUCUAGGCAACAUAGCAAGAUCCUCUCUCUA
rnacentral:SRP_RNA from 1 species